CCUACCAUCUGGUCCGAAUAAAUCACGGAGAUGAAUGGUAGACAGCUUUUAAGACCUUCCUUGGCCAUUUCGAGUACCUGGUGAUGCCAUUUGGACUCAGCAACGCUCCAGCAGUUUUACAAGCCUUGACUGUCCCAUGCAGAGUGAAACUACGAUGUUUGGGACCGUGAACUCCUAGCCAUUAAGCUGACUUUGGAGAAGUGGCGCCAAUGGCUGGAGGGGGGAGUUCACCCGGUGCUGGUAUGGACCGACCACAAAAACCUUGUCUUGCCAGUACUCACUAGAUGACUCAGCAGGCUUGCUCCAACCUCUCAGCAUCCCAAAAAGACCUUGGUCCCACAUCGCAUUGGAUUUUGUCACCGGCCUUCC